rnacentral:rRNA from 1 species
UGCGUAGGCGGAUAUUCAAGUCGGGUGUGAAAGCCCCGGGCUUAACCUGGGAACUGCAUUCGAUACUGAGUAUCUAGAGUAUGAUAGAGGGAAGUGGAAUUUCCGGUGUAGCGGUGAAAUGCGUAGAUAUCGGAAAGAACACCAGUGGCGAAGGCGACUUCCUGGAUCAAUACUGACGCUGAGGUACGAAAGCGUGGGGAGCAAACA